rnacentral:rRNA from 1 species
UACGAAGGGGGCGAGCGUUGUUCGGAUUUACUGGGCGUAAAGGGCGCGCAGGCGGCGCAUUUUGUCGGGCGUGAAAGCCCCGGGCUUAACCUGGGAACUGCGUUUGAUACGGAUGGGCUAGAGUUCGGGAGAGGAGAGUGGAAUUCCCAGUGUAGAGGGUGAAAUUCGUAGAUAUCAGGAAGAACACCCGUGGCGAAGGCGGCUUCUGGGACGGUACUGGACGCUGAGACGCGAAAGCGUGGGGAGCGAACA